UACGGCGGUAUCACGUUGAAACACCGGUUCACGUACGAUCACCGAAGUCAAACAACGUCAAGCCUGGUCAGUACAUAUAUGUAUGACCGCUUGGAAAUACCAGGUGCU